GACGAACGCUGGCGGCGUGCUUAACACAUGCAAGUCGAACGAAGUGGCGAACGGGUGAGUAACGCGUAAUCAACCUGCCCUUCAGCGGGGGACAACAGUUGGAAACGACUGCUAAUACCGCAUACUGAAGGAGGGGAUUGCGGUGGAGUAGUUGGUUGGAGGGGUAACGGCCCACCAAGGCGAUGAUCAGUGGCCGGUCUGAGAGGAUGAACGGCCACAUUGGGACUGAGACACGGCCCAGACUCCUACGGGAGGCAGCAGUGGGGAAGCGUCCGCAAUGGACGAAAGUCUGACGGAGCAACGCCGAGUGAGUGAUGACGGCCUUCGGGUUGUAAAGCUCUGUUAAUCGGGACGCGGUACCGGAAUAGAAAGCCACGGCUAACUACGUGCCAGCAGCCGCGGUAAUUC
rnacentral:rRNA from 1 species